GGUAUAUGUAGCUCAGUGGUAAAGUGCUUGCCUAGCAUGCAUGAAGCCCGGGUUUGAUCCCCAGCACCA
rnacentral:tRNA from 1 species